rnacentral:rRNA from 1 species
AAUAGAUACCCGGGUAGUCCACGCCCUAAACGAUGUCGACUAGGUGUUGGGGAAGGAGACUUCCUUAGUACCACAGCUAACGCGUGAAGUCGACCGCCUGGGGAGUACGGUCGCAAGAUUAAAACUCAAAGGAAUUGACGGGGACCCGCACAAGCGGUGGAUGAUGUGGAUUAAUUCGAUGCAACGCGAAAAACCUUACCUACCCUUGACAUGUACGGAAGUCCGCUGAGAGGUGGAUGUGCCCGAAAGGGAGCCGUAACACAGGUGCUGCAUGGCUGUCGUCAGCUCGUGUCGUGAGAUGUUGGGUUAAGUCCCGCAACAAGCGCAACCCUUGCCAUUAGUUGCCACAUUCAGUUGGGCACUCUAAUGGGACUGCCGGUGACAAACCGGAGGAAGGUGGGGAUGACGUCAAGUCCUCAUGGCCCUUAUGGGUAGGGCCUCACACGUCAUACAAUGGCGCGUACAGAGGGUUGCCAACCCGGCGAGGGGGAGCCAAUCCCAGAAAGCGCGUCGUAGUCCGGAUUGGAGUCUGCAACUCGACUCC